AUCCGGGCUCCGAGCUAACGCCGAAGACGACUGGGGCGGAGAUCUGUGAGUGGUGGCCGCAAGAUGAACGAAGUCUUGGUUGUGUUUGAGGCCCACCUGCAAUACCACCAAUGCACACCAGUGGGCCUCAGUUCACACUUAAUGAAGUAGAGAAAUCCAUGAAUCAACAUCUUCCAAUGCUGACCCUAUGUAGCCAAAGUAUAAUAUUUUUUAAUAUAUCUAUUUUCCAUAUAUCCACCAUUAGAAUUAUGUAGUGUUUUUUUUUCUUUUGGGAGCACAAAAAGAAAGGUAGAGAACAUCUAAUUUCUAACAUAACAUGUUUAACUCUUUUCAUUUUGAUGAAAUAGUUUUAUGCUAUAGGAGUUACACUCUCAUCAUUCCUCCUUCAGUAGAUCCAACUAAAGCUGAUUAAUGGUAAUAAAGAACUGUGAGUUGUUGAAUGAGAAA